rnacentral:rRNA from 1 species
UACGUAGGGAGCAAGCGUUGUCCGGAAUCAUUGGGCGUAAAGCGCGCGUAGGCGGCCCUGUAAGUCCGCUGUGAAAGUCAAAGGCUCAACCUUUGAAAGCCGGUGGAUACUGCUGGGCUAGAGUCCGGAAGAGGCGAGUGGAAUUCCUGGUGUAGCGGUGGAAUGCGCAGAUAUCAGGAGGAACACCGAUAGCGAAGGCAGCUCGCUGGGACGGUACUGACGCUGAGGCGCGAAAGCGUGGGGAGCGAACAGG